CUCUCUCUCUAAUAAUCGUAUUUCCCAAAAAUUAUCCAGGAACUUUCUUCUUCACCAUCUCCAUCUUUCUAACCUAGAUUUGCUCGAUUCAAUCGGGUAGAUUUAGGAAAUCUUAAUGAAUAUAUAUCUUAAUAGUAUGCAAUUACUAACAAUAAAACUAUAAUCCAUGUUCAGGUGAUUAUUAUGUUUCUUUUAUAUUUUAUUUUAUUAUAUAUUUGAUGUCUGUUAUAGACAAUUUCUAUCAUAUAUUUCAAUUUCAUACAACCUUCUAGGGGUUCCCAACGAUUCUCAUAAUCGUUUUAAACAUAUAUUUGAGGGCGAUCUACAUCGGCUUGACAAAGAUCUACACGUUUCAUUCUCAAUCGAAGCAUACCGAAGGCGCCAUCUCGCUAGGGAUAUUGUUGUUGACUAAAGGUCUACUUUUUUGAUUAGAUGCUAGCAAAUCACCAGAUCGCAGGAGGAUUGACAAGUUUCAGGCUUAGAAUUCUACGUGCGACGUCCGUAGUCUAAAACGCGUUUAGAUCAUUUUAUCAUAUAGAAUCCUAUCAGCGAGACUCAUUUUCGUGCGUUGUCGUGCUCUUUCCUCACUCUUUCGGUCAUACGGGCCACUAAGGCUAUCUUCUUUGGAAGGUGCACAUCAGACCAGCCUGCAUGAAAUGACCGACCGUGCUUUAUUCUUGAUCUCUAUGUCGAAGCUGACUAGUUGAAACGAAGAAGUAGCCUUUGAAUCCGAUGGAUUUAUCUAAGAAUCAUCUCUCCUUGAAUGACGAAGUUCAUGCGUUUGAUGCCUUCGGUUGCCUGCUUAGUUGCUCUACUUGCCAGGGCGCUUGUCCUACUUGUCGUUGGCCUAGGAACCUUAUAUUUGAAUUGACGAUCAGAGUCCUCAGGUCUCGAUCAAUUGUGCUUAUUACUCCUCUUAGGAGCAUCUACUCUUAUUGAAGACAAUAAUUUCUCAAUUAAGAAGAAUAUUGAAGAAAUUUUCAAAUGGUGGAUUAUGAAUUCUCAAACCAUCUCUCAAUCGAAUUCCUCGAUGAAGUACAUGAAUAUGAUGCUUUUGUAUAUUAGUAUUUUUUUCAUGUAUUUCAAUCUGUAUGUUGUAUCUCUUUGAUGUAAUUGAAUGUAUUCAUGGCUUCCAUUUGUCCGUUGUAACCCUUCUAACCUCAAUUAAAUGAGGUAUUUGAAAUAAAAGUUUGGG